GCUGCCGGAUAGCUCACUCGGUUAAAGCAUGGCAUUGCAACUAUCAUGGCAUGGGUUCGAGCCCCAGUCGUACCA